rnacentral:rRNA from 1 species
CAGUAGCCGCGGUAAUACGAAGGGGGCUAGCGUUGCUCGGAAUCACUGAGCGUAAAGCGCGCGUAGGCGGAUCGUUAAGUCAGAGGUGAAAGCCUGGAGCUCAACUCCAGAACUGCCUUUGAUACUGGCGAUCUCGAGUCCGGAAGAGGUAAGUGGAACUGCGAGUGUAGAGGUGAAAUUCGUAGAUAUUCGCAAGAACACCAGUGGCGAAGGCGGCUUACUGGUCCGGUACUGACGCUGAGGUGCGAAAGCGUGGGGAGCAAACAGGAUUAGAUACCCGCGUAGUCCCUGUCUCUUAUAC